UACGUAGGUCCCGAGCGUUGUCCGGAUUUAUUGGGCGUAAAGCGAGCGCAGGUGGUUUAAUAAGUCUGAUGUAAAAGGCAGUGGCUCAACCAUUGUGUGCAUUGGAAACUGUUAGACUUGAGUGCAGUAGAGGAGAGUGGAAUUCCAUGUGUAGCGGUGAAAUGCGUAGAUAUAUGGAGGAACACCGGUGGCGAAAGCGGCUCUCUGGACUGUAACUGACACUGAUGCUCGAAAGCGUGGGUAGCAAACAGG
rnacentral:rRNA from 1 species